GAUGAACGCUGGCGGCGUGCCUAAUACAUGCAAGUCGAGCGGACGGACGCAAACCUUCCUUCGCUGAUGAUUGCCGCGCACGGGUGAGUAACACGUGGAAAACCUCCCUAUCAGACUGAUAUAACUUCGGAACACCGGCGCAAAUCUCAGAUAAUAUCUUCAACCGCAUGGUUCAAAAGAGAAAGACGGUCUUGCUGUCACCUCUCGAUCGAUCCGCGCUGCGUUAGCUAGUUGGUCAGGUAACGGUUUACCAAGGAAACGAUGCAUAGCCGAGCUGAGAGGGUGAUCGGCCACGCGGGAACGGAGACACGCUCCAGACUCCUACGAGAGGCAGCAGUAGGGAAUGUUGCGGAAAGGGCGAAAGCCGGACGGAGCAACGACGCGUGAGGGAGGAAGGUCUUCGGAGCGUUAACCGCUGUUAUGAGGUAAGAACAUAUGUGUAAGUAACUGGGGACAUCGUGACGGUACCUAAUCAGAAAGCCACGGCUAACUACGUG
rnacentral:rRNA from 1 species